UAAGGGCGCACGGUGGAUGCCUUGGCACUAGAAGCCGAUGAAGGACGUUACUAACGACGAUAUGCUUUGGGGAGCUGUAAGUAAGCUUUGAUCCAGAGAUUUCCGAAUGGGGAAACCCAGCAUGAGUUAUGUCAUGUUAUCGAUAUGUGAAUACAUAGCAUAUCAGAAGGCACACCCGGAGAACUGAAACAUCUUAGUACCCGGAGGAAGAGAAAGAAAAUUCGAUUCCCUUAGUAGCGGCGAGCGAAACGGGAA
rnacentral:rRNA from 1 species